rnacentral:rRNA from 1 species
UACGUAGGGGGCUAGCGUUGUCCGGAAUCAUUGGGCGUAAAGAGCGCGUAGGCGGCCAGAUAAGUCCGGUGUGAAAGUCAAAGGCUCAACCUUUGAAUGCCGCUGGAAACUGUCUGGCUAGAGUCCGGGAGGGGCGAGUGGAAUUCCCGGUGUAGCGGUGAAAUGCGCAGAUAUCGGGAGGAACACCUAUGGCGAAGGCAGCACUCUGGGACGUGACUGACGCUGAGACGCGAAAGCGUGGGGAGCAAACAGG